rnacentral:rRNA from 1 species
UCGGGAAUUUUGGGCAAUGGGCGAAAGCCUGACCCAGCAACGCCGCGUGAAGGAUGAAGUAUUUCGGUAUGUAAACUUCGAAAGAAUAGGAAGAAUAAAUGACGGUACUAUUUAUAAGGUCCGGCUAACUACGUGCCAGCAGCCGCGGUAAUACGUAGGGACCAAGCGUUGUUCGGAUUUACUGGGCGUAAAGGGCGCGUAGGCGGCAUGACAAGUCACUUGUGAAAUCUCUGGGCUUAACCCAGAACGGCCAAGUGAUACUGUCGCGCUAGAGUGCAGAAGGGGCAAUCGGAAUUCUUGGUGUAGCGGUGAAAUGCGUAGAUAUCAAGAGGAACACCUGAGGCGAAGGCGGGUUGCUGGGCUGAUACUGACGCUGAGGCGCGAAAGCUAGGGUAGCAAACGGGAUUAGAUACCCCCGUAGUCCCUGAGCGGGCUGGCAAGGCGCAU